GUUUGAUCCUGGCUCAGAGCGAACGUUAGCGGCAGGCUUAACACAUGCAAGUCGAGCGACAAAGGGGCUUCGGCCCUGAGUAGAGCGGCGGACGGGUGCGUAACACGUGGAUAAUCUGCCUCGUGGCGGGGGAUAACAGUCCGAAAGGACUGCUAAUACCGCAUGUCAGGUCGGAAAACCCCGGUUUCUGACGAAAAAGAGGGCGCCCGCAAGGGGCUCUCACCACGAGAUGAGUCCGCGGCCCAUCAGCUAGUUGGCGGUGUAAUAGACCACCAAGGCUAAGACGGGUAGCUGGUCUGAGAGGAUGACCAGCCACACUGGGACUGAGACACGGCCCAGACUCCUACGGGAGGCAGCAGUGGGGAAUAUUGGACAAUGGGCGAAAGCCUGAUCCAGCCAUGCCGCGUGAGUGAUGAAGGUCUUCGGAUCGUAAAGCUCUGUGGGAAGGGACGAAAAAAGGACCUAACCUAAUACGUUAGGUCUUGACGGUACCUUCUUAGCAAGCACCGGCUAACUCCGUGCCAG
rnacentral:rRNA from 1 species